UUUGGGGCAAAAUGAGGACUGCAGCCCAGGAGGUGGCAUCUCAGGUAGCUUUGAGAGAUUGCUCUAAAGCGGCAGUGGGCGAAGGUCAAUAUAUAAAGUUUUGGUGAAUGGGGAGUUCAAUACCAUUAAGCACUCAUAUUCUUUUUUUAAGGA